rnacentral:lncRNA from 1 species
AGGAAAAGCUGAGCGACGGGAUCCGAUCUGGAGCUGGGCCUGCAGCGCUGGUGUCUCACGGGAACGAGCAGGGCCUGCAGCGCUUCUAUCCCACGGGAACCAGCAGCGGUGGGAGACGUCGGGAGAAGGAGGCAGGCGCUGGAACGAGGUGACGAGGAGGAGCCGCUGCCUGACGGGAACGAGCCAGGAGAACGGCGGCGUGGAGCGGAUCAACAGCACGAGUUGCGGCGUGCAAAAGUUAACCUAGCUCUAAUACCAUGUUAGGAAAGCAACUUGUAUUCCCAUGAGGCCAUAGGCCGAUAUAUANN